CGGCAAGGGGGUCAUCCCGACUUACCAACCCGAUGCAAACUGCGAAUACCGGAGAAUGUUAUCACGGGAGACACACGGCGGGUGCUAACGUCCGUCGUGAAGAGGGAAACAACCCAGACCGCCAGCUAAGGUCCCAAAGUCAUGGUUAAGUGGGAAACGAUGUGGGAAGGCCCAGACAGCCAGGAUGUUGGCUUAGAAGCAGCCAUCAUUUAAAGAAAGCGUAAUAGCUCACUGGUCGAGUCGGCCUGCGCGGAAGAUGUAACGGGGCUAAACCAUGCACCGAAGCUGCGGCAGCGACGCUUAUGCGUUGUUGGGUAGGGGAGCGUUCUGUAAGCCUGUGAAGGUGUGCUGUGAGGCAUGCUGGAGGUAUCAGAAGUGCGAAUGCUGACAUAAGUAACGAUAAAGCGGGUGAAAAGCCCGCUCGCCGGAAGACCAAGGGUUCCUGUCCAACGUUAAUCGGGGCAGGGUGAGUCGACCCCUAAGGCGAGGCCGAAAGGCGUAGUCGAUGGGAAACAGGUUAAUAUUCCUGUACUUGGUGUUACUGCGAAGGGGGGACGGAGAAGGCUAUGUUGGCCGGGCGACGGUUGUCCCGGUUUAAGCGUGUAGGCUGGUUUUCCAGGCAAAUCCGGAAAAUCAAGGCUGAGGCGUGAUGACGAGGCACUACGGUGCUGAAGCAACAAAUGCCCUGCUUCCAGGAAAAGCCUCUAAGCAUCAGGUAACAUCAAAUCGUACCCCAAACCGACACAGGUGGUCAGGUAGAGAAUACCAAGGCGCUUGAGAGAACUCGGGUGAAGGAACUAGGCAAAAUGGUGCCGUAACUUCGGGAGAAGGCACGCUGAUAUGUAGGUGAAGUCCCUCGCGGAUGGAGCUGAAAUCAGUCGAAGAUACCAGCUGGCUGCAACUGUUUAUUAAAAACACAGCACUGUGCAAACACGAAAGUGGACGUAUACGGUGUGACGCCUGCCCGGUGC
rnacentral:rRNA from 1 species